rnacentral:tRNA from 1 species
UCCCCGGUAGCUCAGUGGGAGAGCAGCCGGCUGUUAACCGGUUGGUCGCUGGUUCGAAUCCGGCCCGGGGAGCCA